rnacentral:rRNA from 1 species
CACACGACUCUCGGCAACGGAUAUCUCGGCUCUCGCAUCGAUGAAGAACGUAGCGAAAUGCGAUACCUGGUGUGAAUUGCAGAAUCCCGCGAACCAUCGAGUCUUUGAACGCAAGUUGCGCCCGAGGCCAUUCGGCCGAGGGCACGCCUUCCUGGGCGUCACGC